rnacentral:misc_RNA from 1 species
GAAACACAAUAGUUAAUGUGAAUUGCAGAAUUCAGUAAAUUAUCGAAUCUUUAAACGCACAUUACACCUAUUAGUAUUCCUUUAGGCAUAUCUGUUUGAACGUUAUUAUAACCCUCAGCUAAUCGCUGUUUUUGAACCUGAACAAGUGAUACCGUACCAGUUUUAAAGUUGUAAGCUCUGCUAAUUGCUCUGCCUAACCAGAAUAUAAUAAGCACUACUUAUCCGGGCGAAACUGAACAGUACGGCCUAAACAAAACCUACCCACUUUUAAAAUUUGACUUCAGAUCAGACAAAAAUAUCCGCUGAACUUAAGC